rnacentral:rRNA from 1 species
GACGAACGCUGGCGGCGUGCUUAACACAUGCAAGUCGAACGGAAAGGCCCUGCUUUUGUGGGGUGCUCGAGUGGCGAACGGGUGAGUAACACGUGAGUAACCUGCCCUUGACUUUGGGAUAACUUCAGGGAACUGGGGCUCAUACCGGAUAGGAGCUCCUGCUGCAUGGUGGGGGUUGGAAAGUUUCGGCGGUUGGGGAUGGACUCGCGGCUUAUCAGCUUGUUGGUGGGGUAGUGGCUUACCAAGGCUUUGACGGGUAGCCGGCCUGAGAGGGUGACCGGCCUCAUUGGGACUGAGAUACGGCCCAGACGCCUACGGGAGGCAGCAGGGGGGAAUAUUGCACAAUGGGCGGAAGCCUGAUGCAGCAACGCCGCGUGCGGGAUGACGGCCUUCGGGUUGUAAACCGCUUUCGCCUGUGACGAAGCGUGAGUGACGGUAAUGGGUAAAGAAGCACCGGCUAACUACGUG